GCCAUACACUAUAUAGACAAAGAAAUCAAAUCAUUUUUAGAGAAGGGGAUCUGCAAUUGAUGACUGACUCUUUUUAAAAUGCCAAUGUGCCAUGACGCCUUUAAGGUAAUAGAUAAUAGAUGACAUUGAAUUCUCUAUUGCAAGCUUAAUUUCCCAUUAUGCAAGUAACUUUGUUGAAUAGCAGCUAAUUGAAGUUAGAUUCUUUAAAUAGCACCAAGACAAUCUGCUCUUUUGUUUGAGACUCUGACUCUGAGCUUUUAUGCAAGAUAAAAGAAAACAUGGUGGAGG
rnacentral:misc_RNA from 1 species